rnacentral:rRNA from 1 species
UACGUAGGGUGCAAGCGUUGUCCGGAAUUAUUGGGCGUAAAGAGCUCGUAGGCGGUCUGUCACGUCGGCUGUGAAAACCCGAGGCUCAACCUCGGGUCUGCAGUCGAUACGGGCGGACUGGAGUUCGGCAGGGGAGACUGGAAUUCCUGGUGUAGCGGUGAAAUGCGCAGAUAUCAGGAGGAACACCGGUGGCGAAGGCGGGUCUCUGGGCCGAUACUGACGCUGAGGAGCGAAAGCGUGGGGAGCGAACAGG